rnacentral:rRNA from 1 species
AUUGAACGCUGGCGGCCGGCCUAACACAUGCAAGUCGAGCGAGCGGCGGACGGGUGAGUAAUUUCUGGGAAACUGCCUGAUGGAGGGGGCUAACUACUGGAAACGGUAGCUAAUACCGCAUCCCAUCAGAUGUGCCCAGAUGGGAUUAGCUAGUAGGUGGGGUAACGGUUCACCUAGGCGACGAUACCUAGCUGGUCUGAGAGGAUGACCAGCCACACUGGAACUGAGACACGGUCCAGAUUCCUACGGGAGGCAGCAGGGGGGAAUAUUGCACAAGGGGCGCAAGCCUGACGCAGCCAAGCCGCGUGUGUGAAGAAGGCCUUCGGGGUGUAAAGAAAGUUCAGCGGGGAGGCGUUACCCGCAGAAGAAGCACCGGCUAACUACGUGCCAGCAGCCGCGGUAAUAC